rnacentral:rRNA from 1 species
AUUGAACGCUGGCGGCAGGCCUAACACAUGCAAGUCGAGCGGAUGAAGGGAGCUUGCUCCUGGAUUCAGCGGCGGACGGGUGAGUAAUGCCUAUGAAUCUGCCUGGUAGUGGGGGAUAACGUCCUGAAACGGGCGCUAAUACCGCAUACGUCCUGAGGGAGAAAGUGGGGGAUCUUCGGACCUCACGCUAUCAGAUGAGCCUAGGUCGGAUUAGCUAGUUGGUGGGGUAAAGGCCUACCAAGGCGACGAUCCGUAACUGGUCUGAGAGGAUGAUCAGUCACACUGGAACUGAGACACGGUCCAGACUCCUACGGGAGGCAGCAGUGGGGAAUAUUGGACAAUGGGCGAAAGCAUGAUCCAGCAAUGCCGCGUGUGUGAAGAAGGUCUUCGGAUUGUAAAGCACUUUAAGUUGGGAGGAAGGGAAGUAAGUUAAUACCUUGCUGUUUUGACGGUACCAACAGAAUAAGCACCGGCUAACUUCGUG